AGGCAGGCGAGGAGGAGGGUGGUGGCGGCGGGGGUGAUGGUGGUGGCGGGGAGGGGGUUGGCAACAAGGGGUGGCUGCGUGGUAACGCAAAGGUACCAAAGCAGAUUCCUGCUACCGAGGAGCAGAAGUGGCUCAUCGAGCCCACGGGGAAAGACAACUGGAUAUAUCCUAAAGGGGCCCGUAUUCCCAACGGCCUCAUCACCGUCUUGCUGAAGGUAUACUGGCCGGGGCUGUACUGUCCGGAUCCAGUUAGGCACCCGGACCGCCUGGUUUUGGCCACGAGCUGGGACCACUGGGUAGCGCCCCCCACGCGGAUUAUGAGACCCAUGCUAAGGCCGUGAUCACUAAUUUUUGGAAAUACUAUCGAGUUCUUCCGGAGCACAAGGCCAUUGCCGACCAGAUCGUGCUUUGCCAAGCCAAGAGUAAGGCCCGCCAGAUGCAGUACGAGGUGCGUUGGGUGGCCAUCUCGACAUACUAUCACGACGCUCUUGGUGUGAAGAUGACCAAGGAAGAAGCGCCGAGGACGGACAUUACCUUGGAGAGGCACCAGUACUUGGCGAUAAGUAUAAAAGAUUUUUAUUUCCAAUGUUUGUGGUACAUUUCAUCAUUUCGUGUUGACAUGUCAGUAUGCUUUCAUUAUGUAGGUAUGUCCAAAUUGGUGUUAUGGAAAAGACGAGUCCUGGGCAGCAUUGGUGGAUCUGUGGUGUGAUAACGAUGGAGCUUGGGCGGCUACGAGCAUCAGAAACAAGGCUAACAGAGGCAGGGAGGGAGUACAGGCUCAGGGAAACCGAAACCACUUUCUUCACAAGACACUUGAGGAGGAGAAACUGAAGCGGCCGCUCUCACACAUGGAGGCGUGGCAGAUCGCCCAUACACGAAGGAAGCCCAAGCCUGGCGAGGCCAAGUACUACGGCAAGACCGCGGAGUAUAAGAAGGCCUACUCCGAGGGGUAUCUGAGUUUACAUCCUGGCACACCUGACCCCAUUGCGGCGGAUCUGGACGAGGGGGUGGUGGUGAGCAUGGGGAAGAAGCAUGGUCGGUCACCGUUUCUGGAUG